AUUGAACGCUGGCGGCAUGCCUUACACAUGCAAGUCGAACGGCAGCACGGGUGCUUGCCCCUGGUGGCGAGUGGCGAACGGGUGAGUAAUACAUCGGAACAUGUCCUGUAGUGGGGGAUAGCCCGGCGAAAGCCGGAUUAAUACCGCAUACGAUCUACGGAUGAAAGCGGGGGACCUUCGGGCCUCGCGCUAUAGGGUUGGCCGAUGGCUGAUUAGCUAGUUGGUGGGGUAAAGGCCUACCAAGGCGACGAUCAGUAGCUGGUCUGAGAGGACGACCAGCCACACUGGGACUGAGACACGGCCCAGACUCCUACGGGAGGCAGCAGUGGGGAAUUUUGGACAAUGGGCGAAAGCCUGAUCCAGUAAUGCCGCGUGUGUGAAGAAGGCCUUCGGGUUGUAAAGCACUUUUGUCCGGAAAGAAAUCCUUGGCCCUAAUACGGUCGGGGGAUGACGGUACCGGAAGAAUAAGCACCGGCUAACUACGUG
rnacentral:rRNA from 1 species